rnacentral:rRNA from 1 species
ACAUGCAGUCGAACGAGUUCUGAUUAUUGAAAGGUGCUUGCAUCUUGAUUUAAUUUUGAACGAGUGGCGGACGGGUGAGUAACACGUGGGUAACCUGCCCUUAAGUGGGGGAUAACAUUUGGAAACAGAUGCUAAUACCGCAUAAAUCCAAGAACCGCAUGGUUCUUGGCUGAAAGAUGGCGUAAGCUAUCGCUUUUGGAUGGACCCGCGGCGUAUUAGCUAGUUGGUGAGGUAACGGCUCACCAAGGCAAUGAUACGUAGCCGAACUGAGAGGUUGAUCGGCCACAUUGGGACUGAGACACGGCCCAAACUCCUACGGGAGGCAGCAGUAGGGAAUCUUCCACAAUGGACGCAAGUCUGAUGGAGCAACGCCGCGUGAGUGAAGAAGGCUUUCGGGUCGUAAAACUCUGUUGUUGGAGAAGAAUGGUCGGCAGAGUAACUGUUGUCGGCGUGACGGUAUCCAACCAGAAAGCCACGGCUAACUACGUGCCAGCAGCCGCGGUAAUACGUAGGUGGCAAGCGUUAUCCGGAUUUAUUGGGCGUAAAGCGAGCGCAGGCGGUUUUUUAAGUCUGAUGUGAAAGCCCUCGGCUUAACCGAGGAAGUGCAUCGGAAACUGGGAAACUUGAGUGCAGAAGAGGACAGUGGAACUCCAUGUGUAGCGGUGAAAUGCGUAGAUAUAUGGAAGAACACCAGUGGCGAAGGCGGCUGUCUGGUCUGUAACUGACGCUGAGGCUCGAAAGCAUGGGUAGCGAACAGGAUUAGAUACCCUGGUAGUCCAUGCCGUAAACGAUGAAUGCUAGGUGUUGGAGGGUUUCCGCCCUUCAGUGCCGCAGCUAACGCAUUAAGCAUUCCGCCUGGGGAGUACGACCGCAAGGUUGAAACUCAAAGGAAUUGACGGGGGCCCGCACAAGCGGUGGAGCAUGUGGUUUAAUUCGAAGCAACGCGAAGAACCUUACCAGGUCUUGACAUCUUUUGAUCACCUGAGAGAUCAGGUUUCCCCUUCGGGGGCAAAAUGACAGGUGGUGCAUGGUUGUCGUCAGCUCGUGUCGUGAGAUGUUGGGUUAAGUCCCGCAACGAGCGCAACCCUUAUGACUAGUUGCCAGCAUUUAGUUGGGCACUCUAGUAAGACUGCCGGUGACAAACCGGAGGAAGGUGGGGAUGACGUCAAAUCAUCAUGCCCCUUAUGACCUGGGCUACACACGUGCUACAAUGGAUGGUACAACGAGUUGCGAGACCGCGAGGUCAAGCUAAUCUCUUAAAGCCAUUCUCAGUUCGGACUGUAGGCUGCAACUCGCCUACACGAAGUCGGAAUCGCUAGUAAUCGCGGAUCAGCACGCCGCGGUGAAUACGUUCCCGGGCCUUGUACACACCGCCCGUCACACCAUGAGAGUUUGUAACACCCGAAGCCGGUGGCGUAACCCUUUUAGGGAGCGAGCCGU